GAUGGGGACCUGUUUAUAGUGCUGCUCCCCACCCUUAUCUUAUCUCAGGCCAGAUGGAGAGGCUGAGAAUGUCACCCAGAGGUAACCUCUGCACCCUGGCAUCUGGGAAGGGCUCUUGGUAGAGAUACUGAACUCCUGGUGGCCUAGGGCUGUAGCUGUGCGGCUGGAGUGAGGAAAAGUUUGGACAACUUGCAAAGCUGCCCCCAGUCUGAGGGCUGGAGCGAGAGGGAAAGGGAAAUUGAAGUAGAAAGAGAAAAACAGAAACCAAGUUGGGGUGGGGAGCUGGGAGAGAUGGGGGCAGAUCAGAAAAAAGACAACUAGAAGGUGGCAGGAGGCAGAGAAAAGGGGCUGCAGUGAUGGAUUCCUUUGCCAGUGCCUCCACCCACCAACCCUCUGACCUUAGAAAAGCCAUGCUCCUUAACUGGGCCUCAGUUUACCCAUGCGCAAAAUGGGGAUGAUAAUUCUGACUCUGUCUUCCUCCUAGGACUGCUGUGAAGAGGAGAGUGGUGACAGCAGAGGAGACCAUUUUGCAAGGAAUGAAAUGAAGUGUAAAUGUCCAUGUGAAGACCAGGACAUGGGGACUGGCUGGGCCGACACUCCCAGCCUCACCCAGCAGCCUUCCUGCCAACUGCCAAGACUUGGACUUGUGCCCUGCCCCUCCAGGAAUACAUCCUCUCUUUGAUGACGGCAACACAGGAUCCAGUAGUGCCUCCCAUUAGUAGAACUGAACUGGAAGACAGAAGAAUAAGUAUUCUGCAGAGGUUAACCUCCUAGUGCACAGAGCAAGUAGAAAAGGAUGGACAAGGGAUUUGAAGGGGCAAGUGGAGAAUAAACAGCCCACAUGAUCUGCACUGAUGAGGGAAAAGGCAAAAGAAACAAACACAUUAAUCAUCUUCAAGCCAUAUCUAUUUUAGACUUUUACUUGUUUCUCAUUAUCACUCUUAUAAAAAACAUUGUCUCAAAAGAGGACACCCCUCAAACUCUAAAUGUUCUAAUGAAAUCAAUAUAUAAUGGAAGGAAGCGCAGUAUCUCUCAGUCAGACUGUAUUAGUUAAGUCUCUUUUGGUUGUAUGUUACAGAACACUUCAACUAGUUUAAACUGAAAGAAAAAGAGAGAGAGAGAGAGAGAGGGAACAUUAAUUAUCAGGAUAAUUAGGAUACUGGGGAGCCUCCCCAGGCCCAGCGGACUUCAGGAGUGUAAGAAUGUCAGCUGGAAUUCAGCAGCUGCUUCCCCUAGGGUUGACAUAGAGCGUCCAAGGCAGGGCCCCCUGAGCCCACCUCCGUGGCUGAGAUCCAGACCUUUUUGGAGAGGGUG